rnacentral:lncRNA from 1 species
AAAUUUUUGACUCUCAGGUAGUGGUGAUCGUUAUGGUAACCCAUGAACUCGGAUGAAUUUCGGGGCCUGCUGUGGGUUUUCUAUGGGACACCAUAUACCACAGUACUGUAUUUCAAAAUAUUGGAUAUUGAUUAUGAACACUGGAACUAUUUAUGUGUCAUCAUUCCAAAGACCAUUGUGAUCUAUGAAGCUCCUUUAUUUGCUGGCUAGAUUGUCCAAAAACAAGCUCACUUGUUUUUGGGCAAUCUAGCCAAGGUGUCACAUAAUGGAGAAAAAUGCAGAUGGUCCUGUGGCUGGUGUGAAUGAAGAAUGACCUGGGCCCAACAUAGAACUUUUCCAGUAUGGUCUCUGCAUGUGGGGAGCCAAACUCUAGAGAAGACAUCAGUGAACUGCUGAUUUGGAGUGACUGACACUUAUUCCUGAGAGUAGGUGAUUCUUCAGUAUCCAAAGAAAUGUAUCAAGUUUGUAUUAGAUGGAAUAUAGCUUACUUUGUUGCUGAAACAUUUUUUAGCACUGACUAUACUUGCAAAUGUAAGGCAUAGUACAUGAACAUGG